rnacentral:rRNA from 1 species
AUGGCGCUGGUGGUGGGAGCUUCGGCGGCGACGAUGAAGUCCGUCAUGGGCAAGCUGGGCAGCCUCCUCGCCCAGGAGUACACCCUGAUUCGGGGGGUCAACGGCGACCUCCAGUACAUCAACGACGAGCUGGCCACCAUGCAGUCCUUCCUCCGCGACCUCGGCGGCAUCCUCGACGGGGCCCGGGCCAAGGGCCAUGCCCACCGGAUGAACGACUGGAUGAAGCAGAUCCGGGACAUCACCUACGACAUCGAGGAUUGCAUCGACGACUCCGGCCACCGCCUCCACGGCCUGCGCUCCGACAUGUGCUGCUACUUCUUCGCCAACAGCGUCUACGAGGUCCUCACCUGGUGGCCUCGCCGCGACGUCGCCGCCAAGAUCUCUGUUCUCAAGAUGCGGGCGCAGCAGAUCGGCGAGCGCCGGGAGAGGUACGGCGUCAGCAACCCGGAGGCCCCCGCCGGUACCGAGGGAUCUAAUUCUGGGCACACCACUUCCGUUGGAUUCGACGCAGCGGACAACCAGGACGCAAGCCUUCAGCUUGUUGCCAUGAAGGACCCGGUGGGAGUGGACGAACACAUGAAGGAGCUGGAGGAGUGGCUGACCAACGACAAGAACAGCUCCGGCGUGCUGUAUGUUGUCGGGUUCGGAGGGGUGGGGAAGACCACCAUCGCCACUGCCUUGUACCAGAAAUUUGGGGAUCGGUUCGACCACCGUGCGAUGGUCACCGUGUCUCAGAGCUCCGACAUCAAUGCUGUCCUGACCAACAUUAAGAAUCAAGUCAUGCCGCAGUCCAGCGUCCAAGCGCAGCAAGGCGCCGAAGGCGUGCUCGGUCGGCUCAAGCAAGGUGCCUCGGCAUUUGCGGCCAAGUGCUGCUCCGCCGGCACCUCGAAGGAAACACGUGGUGAGACGAAGCUAGACCAAAUCAAGGAAGACCUCAAGAAGCACUUUGAUAACAACAGUUACUUGGUUUUGGUUGAUGAUGUUUGGUCUGCAGCAACGUGGGACCAGAUAAGGAAGUCACUUCCUCCAAGUAAGCAACACAGAAGAAUAAUAGUCACUACACGGUUUCAAGCUGUUGCUAAAACAUGCAGAGGGGAAGAAGGCCUUCCUUGA